AGUCACUGACAUUAGAUACCCCUGUAGUCCAGGGUGUAAACGCUGCAGACUUGGUGUUGGGGGCCCUUUGGGGCAUUCAGUGCCGGAGAGAAGUUGUUAAGUCUGCUACUUGGGGAGUACGUCCGCAAGGAUGAAACUUAAAGGAAUUGGCGGGGGAGCACCGCAACGGGAGGAGCGUGCGGUUUAAUUGGAUUCAACACCGUAAAACUCACCAGGGAAGCCUGUUACAUGAAGGCCGAGAUGAAGACUCUGCUAGAUUUUCAG
rnacentral:rRNA from 1 species